GACGAACGCUGGCGGCGUGCUUAACACAUGCAAGUCGAACGGGACGAUUGAAAGCUUGCUUUUAAAAGUCGAGUGGCAAACGGGUGAGUAACGCGUAGACAACCUGCCUUUGAGAUGGGGACAACAGUUCGAAAGGACUGCUAAUACCGAAUGUUGUAUAUUUUCCACAUGGAAGAUAUAUUAAAGAUGGCCUCUAUUUAUAAGCUAUCGCUCAAAGAUGGGUCUGCGUCUGAUUAGCUGGUUGGUGGGGUAACGGCCUACCAAGGCGACGAUCAGUAGCCGGUCUGAGAGGAUGAACGGCCACAUUGGGACUGAGAAACGGCCCAGACUCCUACGGGAGGCAGCAGUGGGGAAUCUUCCACAAUGGACGAAAGUCUGAUGGAGCAACGCCGCGUGAGUGAAGAAGGGUUUCGGCUCGUAAAGCUCUGUUGUCGGGGACGAAUGUGCAGUAUUUGAAUAAAGUACUGCAAUGACGGUACCUGACGAGGAAGCCACGGCUAACUACGUGCCAGCCGCCGCAGUAAUAC
rnacentral:rRNA from 1 species